rnacentral:rRNA from 1 species
UACGUAGGUGGCGAGCGUUAUCCGGAUUUAUUGGGUUUAAAGGGUGCGUAGGCGGCUUAAUAAGUCGGUGGUUAAAAGUAGCAGCUUAACUGUUUUACAUGCCAUCGAUACUGUUGAGCUUGAGAUAUUUGGAGGCAGCUAGAAUUUCCGGUGUAGCGGUGAAAUGCUUAGAUACCGGAAGGAAUACCAAUUGCGAAGGCAGGUUGCUACGAAUAAACUGACGCUGAUGCACGAAAGCGUGGGGAUCAAACAGG